rnacentral:rRNA from 1 species
GAGUUUGAUCAUGGCUCAGCCUGAACGCUGGCGGCGUGGCUAAGACAUGCAAGUCGUACGGGGUCCGCAAGGAUCCAGUGGCGAACGGGUGAGUAAUGUAUCGCUAACGUACCCCUAUGUCCGGGAUAGCUGAGGGAAACUUCAGGUAAUACCGGGUGACAUCAUGAUCCUGCAUGGGAUUAUGCUCAAAGGGCAACCGCAAAGGGAGCGGGCGAUAUCGUAUCAGCUAGUUGGUGAGGUAACGGCUCACCAAGGCGAUGACGCGUAGCCGGACUGAGAGGUCGGCCGGCCACAUUGGGACUGAGACACUGCCCAGACUCCUACGGGGGGCUGCAGUAACGAAUCUUCCGCAAUGCACGCAAGUGUGACGGAGCGACGCCGCGUGUGGGACGAAGUCCUUCGGGAUGUAAACCACUGUCAGGGGUAAGAAAGUUCUGAUCUACCCCAGAGGAAGGCACGGCUAACUCUGUGCCAGCAGCCGCGGUAAUACG